GCACUGUGGCAAAAUACAUAGAAAGAAUACAUGGAGAAAAAACUGAAAUCCAGCUUGCACUCUCCCAUUGUUCACUCGGGAGAGCAUACACUUGUGGAGCCUGGCGGUCAGGUGAGUUCCCGAUCCGCCGAGCGAGCAGGGAAGGCGGCCGUCGGGUAUCUCGCGAGCCGCGAGAUCCAAGAUGGCCGCCGCCCACAUGUGAAGGUGCGCCGCGGAUC